GGGCGCUUAGCUCAGCUGGUUCAGAGCGUCUGCCUUACAAGCAGAGGGUCGGCGGUUCGAAUCCGUCAGCGCCCACCA
rnacentral:tRNA from 3 species